UCCGGUUUAGACCGGCGGUCUCCCUAGAGAAGUUAACUAAGGACAAGGGUUGCGCUCGUUGCGGGACUUAACCCAACACCUCACGGCACGAGCUGACGACAGCCAUGCACCACCUGUGCACUGGUCCCGAAGGAGGGCCCCACUUUCAUGAGGCUUUCACCAGCAUGUCAAGCCCAGGUAAGGUUCUUCGCGUUGCGUCGAAUUAAACCACAUGCUCCACCGCUUGUGCGGGCCCCCGUCAAUUCCUUUGAGUUUCAACCUUGCGGUCGUACUCCCCAGGCGGGGUACUUCCUGCGUUAGCGCCGGCACCCAGAGGGUCGCUCCCCCAGGCACCUAGUACCCAUCGUUUACGGCGUGGACUAC
rnacentral:misc_RNA from 1 species